rnacentral:tRNA from 1 species
GCGCCGGUGGUGUAAGGCAUAGGCAUCGCCGCCCGGAAAACAGAAGGUGCGGGUUCGAGUCCCGCCUGGCGCA